AGAGGGUGAAACUCCCGUCCGCCUGGUUGAAUGAGUCUUUGUCAACGAGUCGAGUUGUUUGGGAUUGCAGCUCUAAUUUGGUGGUAAAUUCCAUCUAAAGCUAAAUAUUGGUGGGAGACCGAUAGCGUACAAGUACCGUGAGGGAAAGAUGCAAAGAACUUUGAAAAGAGAGUUAAAGAGUACCUGAAACUGCUGAAACGGAAGCGAAGGAAACCAGUGUUUGUUUGUUCAUAUUUCCCUGGCCACUUGUGGUUUGGGCGCUGUGGGCUUGCGUGGGUUUACUUUGGUUGAUCCCUUUGGAAGAGCGCAGUCAGAGUUGAUGUCU
rnacentral:rRNA from 1 species